UAGUCCACGCCGUAAACGAUGAUUACUCGCUGUAGGCGAUACACAGUCUGUGGCUAAGCGAAAGUUUUAAGUAAUCCACCUGGGGAGUACGAUCGCAAGAUUGAAACUCAAAGGAAUUGACGGGGGCCCGCACAAGCGGAGGAACAUGUGGUUUAAUUCGAUGAUACGCGAGGAACCUUACCUGGACUUAAAUGUACGUUGCAUGGAUCAGAGAUGGUUCUUUCUUCGGACUACGUACAAGGUGCUGCAUGGUUGUCGUCAGCUCGUGCCGUGAGGUGUCGGGUUAAGUCCCAUAACGAGCGCAACCCCUAUCCUUAGUUGCCAGCGGGUCAUGCCGGGGACUCUGAGGAGACUGCCACCGUAAGGUGUGAGGAAGGUGGGGAUGACGUCAAAUCGUCAUGGCCCUUACGGGUAGGGCUACACACGUGCUACAAUGGUCGGUACAAAGGGUUGCAAGCUAGCGAUAGUGAGCCAAUCCCAUAAAGCCGGUCGUAGUCCGGAUCGGAGUCUGCAACUCG
rnacentral:rRNA from 1 species